UACGGGGGGAGCAAGCGUUGUUCGGAUUUACUGGGCGUAAAGGGCGCGUAGGCGGCCACCGCAAGUCAGUUGUGAAAUCUCUGGGCUUAACCCAGAAAGGUCAACUGAUACUGCGGGGCUAGAGUGCAGAAGGGGCAACUGGAAUUCUCGGUGUAGCGGUGAAAUGCGCAGAUAUCAGGAGGAACACCAAUGGCGAAGGCAGCUCACUGGGACGGUAUUGACGCUGAGACGCGAAAGCGUGGGGAGCAAACAGG
rnacentral:rRNA from 1 species